rnacentral:rRNA from 1 species
CCUACGGGAGGCAGCAGUGAGGAAUAUUGGGCAAUGGGGGCAACCCUGACCCAGCCAUGCCGCGUGAGUGAAGAAGGCCUUCGGGUUGUAAAGCUCUGUCUUCAGGGACGAUAAUGACGGUACCUGAGGAGGAAGCCACGGCUAACUACGUGCCAGCAGCCGCGGUAAUACGUAGGUGGCGAGCGUUGUCCGGAUUUACUGGGCGUAAAGGGAGCGUAGGCGGACUUUUAAGUGAGAUGUGAAAUACUCGGGCUCAACUUGAGUGCUGCAUUUCAAACUGGAAGUCUAGAGUGCAGGAGAGGAGAAGGGAAUUCCUAGUGUAGCGGUGAAAUGCGUAGAGAUUAGGAAGAACACCAGUGGCGAAGGCGAUUCUCUGGACUGUAACUGACGCUGAGGCUCGAAAGCGUGGGGAGCAAACAGGAUUAGAGACCCUUGUAGUC